GAAUAUUGCGCAAUGGGGGCAACCCUGACCCAGCAAUGCCGCGUGCAGGAUGAGGCCCUUCGGGGUGUAAACUGCUUUUGUGAGGGAGCAGACAAGGAGCGUACCUCACGAAUAAGUCACGGCUAACUACGUGCCAGCAGCCGCGGGAAGACGUAGGUGGCGAACGUUAUCCGGAGUGACUGGGUGUAAAGGGUCCGUAGGCGGGAGGAGAAGUCUGACGUGAAAGCGCCCGGCUCAACUGGGCGAGUGCGUUGGAAACUGACCUUCUUGAAUCACGCAGAGGUCGGCGGAAUUCCCGGUGUAGUGGUGGAAUGCGUAGAGAUCGGGAGGAACCUCGAAAGCGAAGGCAGCCGACUGGGGGAUGAUUGACGCUGAGGGACGAAAGCGUGGGGAGCGAACAGG
rnacentral:rRNA from 1 species